rnacentral:rRNA from 1 species
UGGCUCAGGACGAACGCUGGCGGUAUGCUUAACACAUGCAAGUCGAACGAGAAGGAAGAGCUUGCUCUUCCUGAAAGUGGCGAACGGGUGAGUAACGCGUGGGUAACCUACCCUUUGGAAAGGAAUAGCCUCGGGAAACUGGGAGUAAUGCCUUAUAAGAUACGUUUGUCGCAUGGCAUUUGUAUUAAACGCUCCGGCGCCGUAGGAUGGACCCGCGUCCCAUUAGCUAGUUGGUGAGAUAACAGCUCACCAAGGCCACGAUGGGUAACCGGUCUGAGAGGGCGAACGGUCACACUGGAACUGAGACACGGUCCAGACUCCUACGGGAGGCAGCAGUGGGGAAUAUUGCGCAAUGGGGGCAACCCUGACGCAGCAAUACCGCGUGAGUGAAGAAGGUUUUCGGAUCGUAAAGCUCUGUUAUUGGGGAAGAAAAAAAGACGGUACCCAAGAAGAAAGUUCCGGCUAACUACGUGCCAGCAGCCGCGGUAAUACGUAGGGAACAAGCGUUGUCCGGGUUUACUGGGCGUAAAGGGCACGCAGGCGGUUUUUUAAGUCAGAUGUGAAAGGCCACAGCUCAACUGUGGACAUGCAUUUGAAACUGAAAGACUUGAGUAUUGGAGAGGCAAGUGGAAUUCCUAGUGUAGCGGUGAAAUGCGUAGAUAUUAGGAGGAACACCGGUGGCGAAGGCGGCUUGCUGGACAAAUACUGACGCUGAUGGCUCAGGACGAACGCUGGCGGUAUGCUUAACACAUGCAAGUCGAACGAGAAGGAAGAGCUUGCUCUUCCUGAAAGUGGCGAACGGGUGAGUAACGCGUGGGUAACCUACCCUUUGGAAAGGAAUAGCCUCGGGAAACUGGGAGUAAUGCCUUAUAAGAUACGUUUGUCGCAUGGCAUUUGUAUUAAACGCUCCGGCGCCGUAGGAUGGACCCGCGUCCCAUUAGCUAGUUGGUGAGAUAACAGCUCACCAAGGCCACGAUGGGUAACCGGUCUGAGAGGGCGAACGGUCACACUGGAACUGAGACACGGUCCAGACUCCUACGGGAGGCAGCAGUGGGGAAUAUUGCGCAAUGGGGGCAACCCUGACGCAGCAAUACCGCGUGAGUGAAGAAGGUUUUCGGAUCGUAAAGCUCUGUUAUUGGGGAAGAAAAAAAGACGGUACCCAAGAAGAAAGUUCCGGCUAACUACGUGCCAGCAGCCGCGGUAAUACGUAGGGAACAAGCGUUGUCCGGGUUUACUGGGCGUAAAGGGCACGCAGGCGGUUUUUUAAGUCAGAUGUGAAAGGCCACAGCUCAACUGUGGACAUGCAUUUGAAACUGAAAGACUUGAGUAUUGGAGAGGCAAGUGGAAUUCCUAGUGUAGCGGUGAAAUGCGUAGAUAUUAGGAGGAACACCGGUGGCGAAGGCGGCUUGCUGGACAAAUACUGACGCUGA